AAGUAGAAAUAUAUGUUUGGAGAGAAAAAAACUUGAUAGUUGUAUAAAUAUAUUUCAUGAUAUUUGUUUUUUUUAUUUUUUAUUUAUACUACCAUUCAGAAGUUGAAAGAAGUCUCUUAUGCUUGCCAAUGCUGCAUUAAUGAGAUUAAAAAUAUGGUAAAAACAGUACUGUUGUGAAAUAUUAUUACACUUUUCUAUUUUUAUAUAUUUAAAAAUAUAAAUUAUUCCUGUUAAAAUCAUUUGAAUAUGCUGAUUUGGAGCUCAGGACACACUUGGACACACCAAUUUAUACUUCUGCGUCGGGUGCGCGUAGUAGGUACGGCGUAGCAUACGCAUUGACGUGUACCAUACGUCGUACCCUUCGCCGUACCCUGACGCGCACCUCCUCAAAAAUGUAACUACGCGUCGCGACGACGCGGACUGCAAGAUCUGUGAUUGGUCGGCUUGGUAGUAUCACGUUUCCUCCUACGCAUUUCUGGAAUGAUCUUCUGCACUCUGGACUGCCCGCCAUUUUUAAAUUCCGAAAUUCAGUGAAGAGCCAACAUGGAAAUGGACCAAGUGACCGAGCGAUUAAUUAAAGAAGUGAGGAAAUACAGCCAGCAUGAUCCGCUCUCUUUCAGUCGCCAUUGUUCGUAGAAGCCCGCGAGGAUCGAGGAAUGUAAACACAGUGGAACCCGCUCGCGUCAACUAGCGUUUCGGCGGUGAAACUGCAGAGCAAAACAGACAUACGCAGAAGUAUAAAUUCUUAUGACGGCGUCGCCUAUGUGCGUAGCCUACGACGUACACUACGCCGUACACUCGACGCAGAAGUAUAAAUUGGCCUUAUUAUCAGUGUUAAAAACAGUUACAGGUCAGCUGAAUUCAUAUGCAACUCAUGAAGUCAACCAGCGCCAAUUCUUCAAUUCAGAAUUUGGAACAACCCUGGUAAGAAGCAUAAGGGAAAAAAAAAAAAAACACUGGACUCGAAAGGGCAGAGUCCAUUUUCAAGAUUUCCUCCAAGUUGUGCAGACAUCACUACUGCAGUACAAAAAUGGCUCAUGAGUCUUCAGUGCAUGUGUGACUUUGAAAGAAUGUGCUUCACCCUGCAGCAAAACCAUAAAAAUAUGAUGUUAGUAAUGUAUGUUUAAGGUUGUAUUAAAAAAAAAAAAAAAACACUCCUUUUUAACUUGGUUUUAAAUAUGCAUAUGUUAAUUUUGUAUUAUCUACAGGCCAAUGUGUACAUUAAACACAGUAAGUGUGCGUGCUUGUAUGUGUGUGUGUUUCUUUUUUUCACAAUAGUGCAUAACCAGGGUCAAGUGAAAUUGCUCAGAUGUUUCUCCUUCGUAGCUCCAAAGAUAUAUCAGAUUUGUCACAGACGUUUCAUCAAGAAAUUAGAAAUACUAAAGAUACUAAAUGAAAUUGUUAAUUUACAACAAAAGGAGAGACACAUUUCAGUGUCAUAGUUCAGAUGGAUUUGAUGAAUAUAUUUGACUUCAAU
ensembl:lncRNA